rnacentral:rRNA from 1 species
UGCAAGUCGAGCGGGCGUAGCAAUACGUCAGCGGCAGACGGGUGAGUAACGCGUGGGAACGUACCUUUUGGUUCGGAACAACACAGGGAAACUUGUGCUAAUACCGGAUAAGCCCUUACGGGGAAAGAUUUAUCGCCGAAAGAUCGGCCCGCGUCUGAUUAGCUAGUUGGUGAGGUAACGGCUCACCAAGGCGACGAUCAGUAGCUGGUCUGAGAGGAUGAUCAGCCACAUUGGGACUGAGACACGGCCCAAACUCCUACGGGAGGCAGCAGUGGGGAAUAUUGGACAAUGGGCGCAAGCCUGAUCCAGCCAUGCCGCGUGAGUGAUGAAGGCCCUAGGGUUGUAAAGCUCUUUUGUGCGGGAAGAUAAUGACGGUACCGCAAGAAUAAGCCCCGGCUAACUUCGUGCCAGCAGCCGCGGUAAUACGAAGGGGGCUAGCGUUGCUCGGAAUCACUGGGCGUAAAGGGUGCGUAGGCGGGUCUUUAAGUCAGGGGUGAAAUCCUGGAGCUCAACUCCAGAACUGCCUUUGAUACUGAGGAUCUUGAGUUCGGGAGAGGUGAGUGGAACUGCGAGUGUAGAGGUGAAAUUCGUAGAUAUUCGCAAGAACACCAGUGGCGAAGGCGGCUCACUGGCCCGAUACUGACGCUGAGGCACGAAA